AACGAACGCUGGCGGCAGGCUUAACACAUGCAAGUCGAACGCAUCCUUCGGGGUGAGUGGCAGACGGGUGAGUAACGCGUGGGAACGUGCCCUUCAGUUCGGGAUAACCCAGGGAAACUUGGGCUAAUACCGGAUACGUGCGAGAGCAGAAAGAUUUAUCGCUGAAGGAUCGGCCCGCGUCUGAUUAGCUAGUUGGUGGGGUAAUGGCCCACCAAGGCGACGAUCAGUAGCUGGUCUGAGAGGAUGAUCAGCCACAUUGGGACUAAGACACGGCCCAAACUCCUACGGGAGGCAGCAGUGGGGAAUAUUGGACAAUGGGCGCAAGCCUGAUCCAGCCAUGCCGCGUGAGUGAUGAAGGCCUUAGGGUUGUAAAGCUCUUUCGUCCGGGACGAUAAUGACGGUACCGGAAGAUGAAGCCCCGGCUAACUUCGUGCCAGCCGCCGCGGUAA
rnacentral:rRNA from 1 species